AACGAACGCUGGCGGCAGGCUUAACACAUGCAAGUCGAGCGCCCCGCAAGGGGAGCGGCAGACGGGUGAGUAACGCGUGGGAAUCUACCGUACCCUACGGAAUAGCUCCGGGAAACUGGAAUUAAUACCGUAUACGCCCUACGGGGGAAAGAUUUAUCGGGGUAUGAUGAGCCCGCGUUGGAUUAGCUAGUUGGUGGGGUAAAGGCCUACCAAGGCGACGAUCCAUAGCUGGUCUGAGAGGAUGAUCAGCCACAUUGGGACUGAGACACGGCCCAAACUCCUACGGGAGGCAGCAGUGGGGAAUAUUGGACAAUGGGCGCAAGCCUGAUCCAGCCAUGCCGCGUGAGUGAUGAAGGUCUUAGGAUUGUAAAGCUCUUUCACCGAUGAAGAUAAUGACGGUAGUCGGAGAAGAAGCCCCGGCUAACUUCGUGCCAGCCGCCGCGGUAA
rnacentral:rRNA from 1 species